rnacentral:rRNA from 1 species
UACGUAGGGACCAAGCGUUGUUCGGAUUUACUGGGCGUAAAGGGCGCGUAGGCGGCGUGGUAAGUCACUUGUGAAAUCUCCGAGCUUAACUCGGAAUGGUCAAGUGAUACUGCUGUGCUAGAGUACAGAAGGGGCAAUCGGAAUUCUUGGUGUAGCGGUGAAAUGCGUAGAUAUCAAGAGGAACACCUGAGGUGAAGACGGGUUGCUGGGCUGAUACUGACGCUGAGGCGCGAAAGCUAGGGUAGCAAACGGG